rnacentral:rRNA from 1 species
AUGAGCUUGCAUUAUAAAUACACGGCAACCCACAAGGAUUGUUUGUGUAGUGGAAAGAGAACCAAUUUAGUCUCUCAGUAUUCCAUGGCCAAUAACAGCAGCGCUGAGAAGCAGCGAGCGCGGGUGCUAGUUUGUGUGACGGGAGCAGGGGGCUUCAUUGGGUCACGGGUGGUGAAGGAGCUCCUCCUCCGUGGCUACCGUGUAAGGGGAACGGCUAGAGACCCAGCGGACCGCAAGAACGUCCACUUGCAAACCUUGGAGGGGGCCAAUGAGAGGCUAUCCUUGCACCGUGCCGAUGUCCUGGACUGCGACAGCCUCCGUGCCGCCUUCGAUGGCUGCCAUGGCGUCUUCCAUGUCGCCUCUCCAGUGUCUAACGAUGUUGAACUCAUGCCGGUCGCAGUGAAGGGGACCAGAAACGUGGUGAACGCUGCGGCGGACAUGGGCGUGCACCGCCUUGUUUUCACUUCUUCGUAUGGCGCGGUGCACAUGAACCCCAACAGAAGCCCAGACACCGUGCUAGACGAGACAUGCUGGAGCGACUAUGAAUUCUGCAAACAGACAGGCAAUUAUUAUUGUUGUGCCAAGAUGAUGGCAGAUAAGGCAGCAACGGAGGAGGCAGCCAGGAGGGGGCUGCAGCUGGCGGUUGUGGUGCCGCCAAUGACCAUCGGUCCCAUGCUGCAGCGGUCUCUAAACGGCAGCAACUACUACGUCGCAAGGUACCUGAUGGGCACAAAGAAGGCCUACCCCAACGCCGUCGCCAUCUAUGCCGACAUCCGUGAUGUCGUACGUGCCCAUCUCCUCGUCUACGAGCACCACCGCGCCCGCGGCCGCUAUGUCUGCUUCGGCACGGCGCUACACCGCAGUUGCCUCCUCCGGUUGCUCAGGGGUCUUUUUCCACACUAUCCUAUCACUUCCAAGUGCGAAGGGAACGACAAGCCCAUGGUGCGCCCGUACAGAUUCUCCAAUCAAAGACUGAAGGACUUGGGGUUAGAAUUCACUGAUGACAUGAGGAAAACUCUAUACGAAACUGUAAUAUGCCUGCAACAGAAGGGCCAUGUGCGUCUCAUCAUGCCAAAUCAGCAUUCGAGCUUAUAG